rnacentral:rRNA from 1 species
AUUGAACGCUGGCGGCAGGCCUAACACAUGCAAGUCGAGCGGAUGAAGGGAGCUUGCUCCUGGAUUCAGCGGCGGACGGGUGAGUAAUGCCUAGGAAUCUGCCUGGUAGUGGGGGAUAACGUCCGGAAACGGGCGCUAAUACCGCAUACGUCCUGAGGGUGAAAGUGGGGGAUCUUCGGACCUUACGCUAUCAGAUGAGCCUAGGUCGGAUUAGCUAGUUGGUGGGGUAAAGGCCUACCAAGGCGACGAUCCGUAACUGGUCUGAGAGGAUGAUCAGUCACACUGGAACUGAGACACGGUCCAGACUCCUACGGGAGGCAGCAGUGGGGAAUAUUGGACAAAGGGCGAAAGCCUGAUCCAGCCAUGCCGCGUGUGUGAAGAAGGUCUUCGGAUUGUAAAGCACUUUAAGUUGGGAGGAAGGGCAGUAAGUUAAUACCUUGCUGUUUUGACGUUACCAACAGAAUAAGCACCGGCUAACUUCGUG